rnacentral:rRNA from 1 species
CCUACGGGAGGCAGCAGUGGGGAAUAUUGCACAAUGGGCGAAAGCCUGAUGCAGCAACGCCGCGUGAAGGAAGACGGUUUUCGGAUUGUAAACUUCUAUCAAUAGGGAAGAAAGAAAUGACGGUACCUAAAUAAGAAGCCCCGGCUAACUACGUGCCAGCAGCCGCGGCAAUCCGUAGGGGGCAAGCGUUAUCCGGAAUUACUGGGUGUAAAGGGAGAGUAGGUGGUAAGGUAAGCUAUAUGUGAAAGCCUUAGGCUUAACUUAAGGAUUGCAUAACGAUCUAUCUAGCUAGAGUACAGGAGAGGAAAGCGGAAUGCCUAGUGUAGCGGUGAAAUGCGGAGAUAUUAGGAAGAACACCAGUGGCGAAGGCGGCUUUCUGGACUGAAACUGACGCUGAGGCUCGAAAGCGUGGGGAGCGAACAGGAUUAGAUACCCUUGUAGUC